CGGCGAGUGAGCGGCAAAAGCUCCAUUUUGAAAGCUCUUCGGAGCGUUGUAGAUUGGUGGGAAGCUAACGGCUGGUGGGAGACCAAGUCCUCUGGAACGAGGCGCCAUAGAGGGUGAGAGCCCCGUGUGUCUCCUUUACCGACCUUUCAGCCCCCUCCGCGGAGUCGAGUUGUUUGGGAAUGCAGCUCUAAGUGGGUGGUAAAUUCCAUCUAAGGCUAAAUAUUGGCGAGAGACCGAUAGCGAACAAGUACAGUGAUGGAAAGAUGAAAAGCACUUUGAAAAGAGAGUGAAACAGUACGUGAAAUUGUUGAAAGGGAAGGGUAUUUGGCCCGACAUGGGUCCUAUGCACCGUUGCCUCUCGUGGGCGGCGCUCUGCUUGGGCCUGGGCCAGCGUCAGUUUGGAGGGGGCGAGAAGGGUUUUGGGGAGUUGCCUAGCAAUUCCCCUUUGCUAGAUUGCCCCACACCGGACUGAGGACCGCCAUCUGUAGGAUGCUGGCACAACGGCCAAAUACCGCCCGUCUUGAAACAACGGACCCA
rnacentral:rRNA from 1 species